rnacentral:lncRNA from 1 species
CCAAACACCGUCAAGAAAUUAGAUUCAUAAAAUUGCCAUCACCAGAACCAAAAUGCUGCUGGAUUGUGCAUUCAUGUCGGCGCCAUCAUGCGUGGCGCUCGCCUCUGGUGGUCUGUGUGGAUUGCCUUCAUCGGUGGCGGCUCAGUGAAGGAGAAGACGAGAUGCGAUGUCAUAUGCGGCACUCGCCUCCGAUGGUUUGCAUAUGGAUCGCCUUCGUCGAUGGUGGUU